AGAGUUUGAUCCUGGCUCAGAACGAACGCUGGCGGCGCGCCUAACACACGCAAGUCGAGCGCCCCUUUCGGGGGGAGCGGCGCGCGGGUGAGUAACGCGUGGGAACCUGCCCUGGGGUUCGGGACAACGGCUGGAAACGGCCGCUGACACCGGAUACGGCCUUCAGCAAUGGAGGCGAAAGUUCACGCCCUGGGAUGGGCCCGCGUCCGAUUAGCUAGUUGGUGGGGUAACGGCCCACCAAGGCUGCGAUCGGUAGCCGGUCUGAGAGGAUGAUCGGCCACACUGGGACUGAGACACGGCCCAGACUCCUACGGGAGGCAGCAGUGGGGAAUCUUGGACAAUGGGGGCAACCCUGAUCCAGCGACGCCGCGUGGGUGACGAAGGCCUUCGGGUUGUAAAGCCCUUUUUCCGGGGACGAUGAUGACGGUACCCGGGGAAUACCACCGGCUAACUCCGUGCCAGCAGCCGCGGUAAGACGGAGGGUGCUAGCGUUGCUCGGAAUCACUGGGCGUAAAGCGCACGUAGGCGGAUUGCUAAGUCAGGGGUGAAAUCCUGGAGCUCAACUCCAGAACUGCCUUUGAUACUGGCGACCUUGAGUCCGGGAGAGGUGAGUGGAACUGCGAGUGUAGAGGUGAAAUUCGUAGAUAUUCGCAAGAACACCAGUGGCGAAGGCGGCUCACUGGCCCGGUACUGACGCUGAGGUGCGAAAGCGUGGGGAGUAAACAGGAUUAGAUACCCUGGUAGUCCACGCCGUAAACGAUGGAUGCUAGCCGUUGGUGGGUUUACCCUUCAGUGGCGCAGCUAACGCAUUAAGCAUCCCGCCUGGGGAGUACGGUCGCAAGAUUAAAACUCAAAGGAAUUGACGG
rnacentral:rRNA from 1 species